rnacentral:lncRNA from 1 species
UUUUCAUUCCCGUUGUUAUGGAGGUAGGGUCUCCGCGAAUCUGGGGGUGGUAGCUGCGGGCAAAAGCAAAUAAAGAGCUCGAGCUUCUGUGGUCUCUGGGGAGAUGUUCCCGGGAAGCCUGGCUAGAGGGCAGAGGGCAGCUGUUGAGAUGGCGUGGCUCCCCGCCUCCUGCGCUCGCGUGGCCUUCGGCCCGGUGUUGGACAGCCUGGCAGGGCAGCGGGGGGCUGAAUCCGGCUGCCGUAGAUGAGGCUCAUGGAUCACCCUUUUGUGGUAGGGCCACAUCUGCCAGAGCCUGGAGUCUGCGAAGGCCGGGACCCGGUUCUCCGGCCCGCCGUGGGGAGUGUGCAAACCCGAGAGAGCUGGAUUGCCUGCCCACCGCAGAGUGCUGAAGACGGGGUAGCCAUGAGGUUGCAAAUUCGUGAAGAUAUCAGCAGCAUGUUUGGCAGCUGAGUAUUGGAGCAAGGAGCCUGCCACAAGGUUUUGAGAACAGAGUGCCGUUUUAGAGCUGGCGGCAGCAUCUUAGCCCAAAAGAAGGUUAUAUUCCCAGAGGAUGUCAAUCCCAAGGACCAGUAGCUGCCGUCAGUUUGGAUUAUGAAAACUUUAACCAGCAUCAACAUUGGGUGUAGAAACAUGAUUGCUUUGUGUAUCAGAGGACAUGCUCAGCAGAUCCAAGAGAUAUAUUUGGCAACUUUUUCUAGAAAAGGCACAUUGGGUAUCAUUCAUUACAUUCUUGAGUUUUUUUGGGUUUUUUUUUUUUUUUUUGAGACAGUCUUGCUGUGUUGCCCAGGCUGGAAUGUGGUGGCACAAUCACAGCUCAUUGCAGCCUCAAUCACCCAGGCCUAAGCAAUCCUCCCGCCUUGUAGCUGGGACUAUAGCUCACAGCACAUCUGGCUAAAAUUUUUUUUUUGUUGAGGUGGAUUCACUGUGUUACCCAGGCUGGUCUCAAGCUCCUGGGCUCAGAUGGUCCUGCCUCAGCUUCCAAAGGCAUAGGCCACGUUGUAGCUUUGUCCCUUGCCAUCCUGCCCAACAGGGGGUGCUGUACCUUUUAAUGAAUUGACUUUCAUAAAUUGGUUAUGUUGGUGGGCAAGUUCUUUAAGCUGGAAAUUGUAAAUUCUUCCUGAAAUGUUUUUUCAUGCAGUUACCAUGAACUAAAUACUACAAUAAAGGAUGGUCUUGGGUAUCGAUUCUUA